rnacentral:rRNA from 1 species
GACCAAAUUACGUGCCAGCAGUCGCGGUAAUACGUAAAAGACUAGUGUUAUUCAUCUUUAAUAGGUUUAAAGGGUACCUAGACGGUAAAUUAAGCCUUAGUUGGGACUGGUUUACUAGAGUUACUUAUGAGGGGGCAUUAAUGUACUAACGGUGUAGAGAUGAAAUUUUGUGAUACCUUUUUUUUAACGAAAUAAUAUGGCACAAGUAUAGGCGAAAGCAUCCUCUUAUGUGAUAACUGACGUUGAGGGACGAAGGCUUUUUGUAGCGAACAGGAUUAGAUACCCUGGUAGUCAAAGCAGAAAAUGAUGAGUGUCAUAGAUUAGAUAACUUUAUUCUAUAAAUGAAAGUGUAAGCACUCCACCUCAAGAGUAAUUUGGCAACAUUGGAACUGAAAUCAUUAGACCGUUUCUGAAACCAGUAGUGAAGUAUGUUAUUUAAUUUGAUGAUCCACAAAGAACCUUACCACAACUUGAAUAUUUAUG